rnacentral:misc_RNA from 1 species
AAUUCUCAACCUUACUAGCUUUUAUGAGCAAUGUAAUGGCUUGGAUGUGGGGGUCUUUUUUUUUUGCUGGCUUCGAAAGAAAUCAGCUCCCCUAAAAUGUAUUAGCUGGUGCCCCCUUGUGGACUAUCUACUGGUGUGAUAAUUAUCUAUGCCGUUAGAUGUCUGCUUUUAAAUAGGGAUGUGCUGCUUCUAAUUGUCCACUUAGGACACUUAUUGACU